GACGAACGCUGGCGGCGGGCUUAACACAUGCAAGUCGAACGGAAAGGCCCUGCUUUUGUGGGGUGCUCGAGUGGCGAACGGGUGCGUAACACGUGAGUAACCUGCCCUUGACUUUGGGAUAACUUCAGGAAACUGGGGCUAAUACCGGAUAGGAGCUCCUGCUGCAUGGUGGGGGUUGGAAAGUUUCGGCGGUUGGGGAUGGACUCGCGGCUUAUCAGCUUGUUGGUGGGGUAGUGGCUUACCAAGGCUUUGACGGGUAGCCGGCCUGAGAGGGUGACCGGCCACAUUGGGACUGAGAGACGGCCCAGACUCCUACGGGAGGCAGCAGUGGGGAAUAUUGCACAAUGGGCGGAAGCCGGAUGCAGCAACGCCGCGUGUGGGAUGACGGCCUUCGGGUUGUAAACCGCUUUCGCCUGUGACGAAGCGUGAGUGACGGUAAUGGGUAAAGAAGCACCGGCUAACUACGUG
rnacentral:rRNA from 1 species